CUCUCUCUCUCUAUCUCUCUCUCUCUCUCUCUCUCUCUCUCUCUCAGCCGAGAGCCUCUUAUCCUUGCUCUCACCUUCCCAUUUUCUGCAAACACUCAUAUUCUCUCUCUCUCUCUCUCUCUCUCAGCCGAGAGCCUCUUAUCCUUGCUCUCACCUUCACUCUCUCAUCAAUCGAACUUGAAAACCAUAAAUUUGGCAUCUCUGAGACGAGAGGAACCUGUUUAUACCUUCGCACGCAUCAUCAGAGCGAUGGGCAGUGAACUGCCAUGGAACCCGUGAGCUUCGAGCUCUAGCUCUUGAUCUCAUUUUUCGAUUGUCUUCUCCGAGCAAACUCCGGCAACUUUGUGAUUUCUGGAGCUCGGGAAUAACUCGAACCAAUCUCAGAAUCUGGCGAGGGUUUUUGAGGGAAAUCCGUCGAGUCCGAGGUGAAUUCGACCCCCAUUCCUCUCAAAUCUGUUCAAAUUUCCAGCGAGGCUCCGGUGAUGGCAGACGGCUACCCUCGACGAUCUACGUUAAGUUUAACGGCAGAACUAAGGAUUCCGUUAACUCUAACGAAAUCAUUCAACAACGAAGGUAUAUUCCGUUAACUAUCUUAAACCCUCACUGCUCUGGCACGUAGCACCAGCGACGGUGAAUGUGACGUCUACUCGCCAAACCGCGGCAGCGAGUACGACAACGUGUUCACCUGCAACUGUGGCCCAUGGCGGCGCAUGUUGUCCGGCACAACACCACUGUGGCGACACGACACCACUGCGGCGACACGUGGUGGCGUGUGAUCGGAGCACGGCUGUGCGUGGCGACGCGUGACACACCCGAGACCUAACCCCAGGUUUUUCGUUGUUUUGAAUCACGUGGUGCCCUCCAUUUGUGCAAAUUCAAAGCCUAAAUGGUAGAGUUGGACAAUGUUCCAUACGUUGAUGUUUUAAACUUGUAUUAGCUUAUAUUGAUUAUCACAUGAUUGUUAGAGGAUCAUAAGGAUAUAGACAAGGAGGCUAUUUCCGAGGGACGCUCUAUUUAUCUGUUAGUGGAUCCCUUCGAAAAACUAAAACAUUUGUACGUCAUAUAUAUAUAUAUAUAUGCCUGAUAUGCGAAUGCAUAUUAAUAUUUUAGUCUCUAAUGAGACUUGUGAUGAUAUUUGAUAAUAUCUUUGGAUCCUCAGUGAUCUAUUUUCACUAAAUGGUCAUCAUGUGAUAUUUCAUAUAGCUAUCUUCAGCAGUAGAUUUAUUUGCAGGUAAUAUUUGUCUUAGUAGACACUAGAUGGUUGAUUAUUAUUACCGGUAUUGAGAUUAACUAGUUAAUGCUAGUAUAUUUCCUGCUGCUAUAUUUAUGUUAGUGGAUGCUAGCAAGAUUAAUUGACGGAAGGUAUGAUUUCUGAACUUGACUUGAUUGUUUUUCGAUGAUAUUAAUGAAUGAGAUUUUACUAUUGCAGUAGUAUUAUUAUAUAGCUUUUGCUAGAUAUGUUUCAAAACAGGGGUUAUUAGGUUUAAAUGAUGAUUUUAUAAUUGUGAUAAAACUGGUCCACUCACGUUUUGUUUUAUCAAUCUCUUCAAGACGUAACGAGAAUAAAGAGAACAUUGGUGGAGAUGAGUGGGCUUGGUAGUGAAGCUUUCAUCCUCUGAACUUCGGGUGAUGGCUCCUUUACUACAAUUUUAUCUUAGUUGUAAUAAUAUUGGCAUGAUCGACUUUUGAUUAUGCAUAGCAUUGCACUCUGUUGUAUUUACUGAUGUGUGAAACUUUUAGCUGUUGGAUUUAUUCAAUAUAAAUCAACCACAAAUGGUCUACUAUAUGUAAUAGGAAUGUAUAAGUUGGAGAUCAGUUAAGAUGCGAUUUGAUAUCCUUAUAUCAAUCCUACAUUGAGUGUCUUACAUUAUAGGUAGGUUUUUUAUUGAAUCCUUAAUAAUAUAUGAUUAUGAUAUUUUACUUGAGAGCCAGGAAAGGAGAGUUUUAGCUUUCCUUUAUGGAUGGAAUCUAAGACUUUUUUGCUAGUAUAUAAACACCGGUCCCUGCUAACCCUAGAUCAUGGCAACUAAGGCUUCCCAUAGAGCAUUGUCAUAAAGCUAGGAGUUUACAGAAGAGUUGGUGUUUUCUCUCUUGAUCACAGCAAACGUGCCGAUAUUGGUGUUCUCUUGAUCACUCAUUCUCUGCAUGGCUACUGCACCUUCAACAAGUAAGAGUUUCAU